GACCGUGGCUUGGAGCCCGGGAGGGCUGCGAGCCUACUCAAGCUGCUUUUCUUCUUCCAUCACCUUCUCCUUUCGCUGUGCACGGGCCACGCAGUGGAACUGCAGCGGUGAAAACGACUGAAUUUGGGGCCCUGUAACCUCCUGGCAACCCUGAGGAGCGGCAGCGGAAACACAAGUAAGAAUGGAGGGUGCUCUUCUCCCCAGAAGCUAACAAAGGGUCAGUCUUUCUCUGUGAAAUGGCUGUAGAAUAUAAACGGAGGCUCCUGGCAUUUCCCUACUGGCUCAGUUCAAGAACCACCCACUCCGAGUUGUCUUCCUGGAUUUUCUCAGCCCAAAGUAAUCCUUCUUUUUCUGAGGUACAAAAGAGGUUCAACAGUGAGUAUUGUAGAUGCUGAGCUUCAUCUGUGAACAAAACCUACCAAGUCUCUGACCACAUGGAAUUCAUGAGGUGGACGCAGGGCCACACAGGAACAACUCACAGCAAACUACAGGGACACUCAUGACAUGUCUGUGCCCAGGGAAGUCCACCAAGUCUCCAGGUCUGAGGCAUUUAUGAGACAAAACUCAAGUCUCAAAUGAAAGGAUCCCUGAAGACUUCCUUAUGGAUUUUGUCUCUGGGAACACGUACCUCUUCUUUUGUGGUGUUGGAGAAGACUCUUGAGAGUCCCUUGGACUGCAAGAAGAUCAAAUCAGUCAAUCCUAAAGGAAAUCAACCCUGAAAAUUCAUUGGAAGGACUGAUGCUGAAGCUGAAGCUCAAGCUUCAAUACUUUGGCCACCUGAUGUGAAGAGCCAACUCACUGGAAAAGACCCUGAUGCUGGGAAAGAUUGAAGGCAGGAGGAGAAGGGGACGACAGAAGACGAAAUGGUUGGAUGGCAACACCGACUCAAUAGGCAUGAACUUGGACAAACUCCGGGAGAUAGUGGAGGAUAGAGGAGCCUGGCGUGCUGGGAUCCAUGAGGUCUCAAAGAAUCAGACAUGACUUAGCGAUUGAACAACAACAAUCUCUUCUUCCACCACUUCCUCAACCUCACCCUGAGUGAUCUCCUCCACUCUUUUUUCAGUUUAAAAUGUUUUUAUUUGAUGCAUAUAGUUUUUUUCUUUUUAAAAAAGCAUACCAAAGGCUUAUACAAAAAAAAAAAAGGCUUAUACAAAGUGAUAAGCAGAAGACCCUAUGCCCACCCCUUUCAUGCUUCCCAAAAGCAAUCUCUCUUUGAAGUAUUCCUUAUGGUGUUUACCUCAGUCAUUGAAAAGAAUAUGAUUAUCCCACUGUUUCUUUGUUUUUUUUCCAGUAAAAUAUACAUUGCACAGAUUUACCAUUUCGACUAUUUUAUGUGUACAGUGGCAUUAAGCACAGUUGUGUUGUGGUACAGUCAUCACCACAAGCCAUCUACAGAAGUUUUUCAUUCUC
ensembl:lncRNA